CGAGCCCGAGCCGCCGGGCGAGGGCGUGGCAUGAGUGGUGCCGGAGGGGCCCGGUUCGAGCCCGACCGGCUCGAC
rnacentral:tRNA from 1 species